CUACGGGCUGCUGCAGUAACGAAUAUUGGACAAUGAGCGAAAGCUUGACCCAGCAAUACCGCGUGCAGGAAGAAGCCCUUCGGGGUGUAAACUGCUGUCAGGGACCACCAAGCAAUGGGUGUUAAUACCACUCUGCGUUGAGGAAUCCCAGAGGAAGCCACGGCUAACUUCGUGCCAGCAGCCGCGGUAAGACGAAGGUGGCGAGCGUUGUUCGGAAUCACUGGGCUUAAAGAGCUCGUAGGCGGAUUGUCAAGCGCUUUGUGAAGGCCCUCGGCUCAACCGAGGAAUUGCUUGGCGAACUGACAGUCUUGAGACAUGUAGGGGCAACCGGAACUCAUGGUGGAGCGGUGGAAUGCGUAGAUAUCAUGAGGAACGCCAGAGGCGAAGGCGGGUUGCUGGGCAUGUUCUGACGCUGAGGAGCGAAAGCGUGGGUAGCAAACGGGAUUAGAUACCCCCGUAGUC
rnacentral:rRNA from 1 species